UUUUUAACAUUUCACGAAUAGUUUCUUUUGUGUACACACAUAUUGUCUAGUAUCCUGUUAGACAGUUGCAAUGGCCUAAGUAGACUCAUGACUUCUUAACUUCUGGGUAUUUUUCACAUUUACAAUCAUGGUACCAUUGCCUUAAUUGCAAAUCCCCUUGAAACCCACCAUAAGAGCCAGUCAGCUAUCCCAAGUGAUGGAGUUUGUAAUUCUUGCAAGCAGAGUGCUGUACGAUGAUGUGAGCAUCUCCCUCCCACCAGUGAUCACCAGUGAUCAAUUGUGUGAAAAGCACACUCCCAUCACACUAUGGUUGGCAGGAGGAGGUUGGUUAUAUCUUCCUGCUCCUUGCUAGGACUACAGAAGGCUGUUACUUAGGAUUUCUGACUGGUUGUUAAGGUAGGCUUAAUGGAUUUGAUCAGGAAAGGGAGCAUAUUUGUGAUAUAGUAGUUAUGCCUUUAAUGCAAGAUCUUAGCAUUAUUUUUUGGGACCUAGUAUUAUGGUUUUUACACAAAGCAAUGGAUUUUCAUGGAAGUGUAUUUUAUAUAAAUAUAUUGGAUUUUGGACACCAAAUAAUUUUUAAAUUGUUGUUUACAAAAGCUUUUGGUGCUAACUGAUUUACUUCAAAAUACUCAUGCAUGCGGCCUUAAAUUGUGACAAUCUUUUUAUUUUAACUUGUUAAUCGUAUUUAAUACAUUUAAUAAUUUGAUUUUGCUUGGUUCAAUUAGUUUUAACUUGUUUUCAUAGAUUUUACUUCUCCGUGACCCUAAAAUCUAUUGAUAAAGGGCAGGAUAAAAAUGUAAUAAGUAAAUAUCAAUAAAUAAUUGGUUUGGUUAUUUGGGGUGCUGAUUCAGAAAAUUGCAUUGGAUAGACCACAUCAGCUCUAGUUUCUGAUACAGAACAUAUGCCAUCCAAUAGUCACCAACUGUUCACCCACAGAAAAGCAUAUUUAAUAAUCUAGAGCUGCUUUUCCCUGCAUGUCUCACAGACCUUAUUUUAGGGCUCACGGCGCACCAUAUUCAAUAAAACAAUAAUAAUACAAUAAUAACACAAUAAUAAGUCUUUUACAGCUUGGAAGUUUUUGCAAACAGUGUAAACUUCAUGAUACAUAUGUUGAGCUUUUUGAACAGUUGCUGAUGGGGCCAGGGCCGGUCGGAGAUAAAUUUAAAUAUUAAGCGGGGGUGCUGAAAAGCGCCCCCCGCCGGCCCCGCCUCCUGCGCCCUGGCCCCGCCUCCCAC
rnacentral:lncRNA from 1 species